GUAGAAUUGGCAUACACAAAAGGAGUUCAAAAGUCGUACUGUGUGAAAUUUUCCAAAGUUCACUGUAGCUUCAUAUCCUUGGGUCAAUCUCUACAAAGAGAAGGGCAUGUUGAUAACUUCUUGAUUCCAGUUUUUUGUCGCAAACUGUUUGAGGAUAAUCACCCUAGUAAAUCUGGGAGGCAUCAUUUCUUCUCCUUUAUCGGUGAAAAUAUCCUCGACUAUAACAAUGAUGUUCAGCUAGGAUUAAUUGCUAAAGCUUUUAUUGGUGCUGCAUCAGCAAGUAAAGGGAAAAGAUUGGAGCUAUCCGACAGGCUCUUUUUCCCAAUAUGCCGCUCACGUCAUUGGUUCA